UACAGAGGUGCCAAGCGUUAGGCGGAAUCACUGGGCUUAAAGCGCGCGUAGGCGGAUGUUUAAGUGUCUUGUGAAAUCCCACGGCUCAACCGUGGAACUGCUGGGCAUACUGGACAUCUCGAGGCACUCAGGGGCGAGCGGAACAAGUGGUGGAGCGGUGAAAUGCGUUGAUAUCCACAGGAACUCCGGUGGCGAAGGCGGCGUGCUGGACCCCAUCUGACGCUGAGGCGCGAAAGCCAGGGGAGCAAACGGG
rnacentral:rRNA from 1 species